AGCAUAAAUGGUACGCUGCCACUUUAAGAUCAAUUUCAGCUGCUGCAUAUAAGCAGGUCUCUACCUGCCACAUGACUACUUGCGUCAUGACGUCAACUCAUUUUGCUUAGUUUGUUUGCUGAGCUGUGCUGGCCUCCCUUGCUGUGCCUCCAACUCCUGGACCAAUUUGUUCGGUUGUUUGCUGCCGGUAAGCUGUGCUCCGUAGGUGAACUUGUGGAUCUGUUAAUCUGGCCGUGUGGUAAUUUACAGCCUCCUGCCGAGUCCCUGACAACUAUUCUAUUUGGAUGUACACUCGCUGCUGUUUUGCCUACGUUGAAUUGUUUUAAAAGAUUUGUAUGAACUUUCCCCCGCUGCCGGGAGUAUUGAUGGCACCACAAACGGGAUAAAAAAAGCAAUCUUGUAGUGCUAUUGUAUCACUGUUUUACUCGUAUUGUUUCAUUUUUUUGUCUUUCUUUUAGGGACUGAGGCUUCUGUGGUGGCGGUGGUGACCCCUGGUGGCGGUGUCUUGUCUUGUGUGUUUUGUUGGAACACCCCUUUUUGUGUGUGUGUGUUUGCCGUGUCUUUGUAGUGUCCAGGGUGAUCCCUUUUCUUCACUGGAUGUUGCCCCUUUCCUCACUACUCUCCCCCCACUGGUAAGCCUCAGUUUCCUUUGACAUUUAAACAUUUUAUAAUCAACUUUAUUAAAAAUGCAUUCACUGUUUUAACUAUUCGAUUUCAGGUUAUUGUUAAAUUAAACAACCUAUUAAAGUUUAAUAAAUUUUUUGUAGAAUUGUC